rnacentral:misc_RNA from 1 species
CCAAACUUGGUCAUUUAGAGGAAGUAAAAGUCGUAACAAGGUAACCGUAGGUGAACCUGCGGUUGGAUCAUUAACAAAUUUAUUGACUAGAGUGGUUUCGACCCUCUGGUUUAUUCAACACCUGUGAACUGUUUAUAUUAUCUGUUUCUGUUUGGUGAGUAAAGAAAGCUUUGGCUUUUGGCUCGUCCACUCACCAAAGAGAGCAGAAACUUUGUUAAACAAAUUUUUACUAGUGGUCUCAUAAGUUAUUUUUACUUUAAAUUAAAAACAACUUUUGGCAACGGAUCUCUAGGCUCUUGCAUCGAUGAAGAACGCAGC